rnacentral:rRNA from 1 species
CCUACGGGAGGCAGCAGUGAGGAAUAUUGGUCAAUGGGCGGAAGCCUGAACCAGCCAAGUAGCGUGCAGGAUGACGGCCCUACGGGUUGUAAACUGCUUUUAUACGGGAAUAAAGCGCCUUACGUGUAUGGCUUUGCAUGUACCGUAUGAAUAAGGACCGGCUAAUUCCGUGCCAGCAGCCGCGGUAAUACGGAAGGUCCGGGCGUUAUCCGGAUUUAUGGGGUUUAAAGGGAGCGUAGGGCGCAUGGCAGGCGUGCUGUGAAAUGUCCGGGCUCAACCCCGGACUGCCGUUGAAACUGGAAGCCUGGAGUGCGGGAGAGGUAUGCGGAAUGCGUGGUGUAGCGGUGAAAUGCAUAGAUAUCACGCAGAACUCCGAUUGCGAAGGCAGCUUACCGGAGUGCAACUGACGCUCAUGCACGAAAGCGUGGGUAUCGAACAGGAUUAGAUACCCGAGUAGUC